rnacentral:tRNA from 1 species
GCCCUCGUAGCUCAAUGGACAGAGUAGUUGACUUCGAAUCAAAAGGUUGAGGGUUCGAGUCCCCCCGGGGGCG